CACGUUAUAAACGCUCAGUAUUUCUUUUCCUACUGUGUGUGGGCAAACCAGCACGCACAAUUUGUAGGCUAAUGUUAACCGUUCCAAGAGUGGAGUCACAUGUCUAUUUUGUAUGUGACAUGGGAAAAGAUCAGUCUCACUGUGUAGUAGAUGUGAGACCUGAAAAAGGAACUGAGAAUUGGAAAUAAAACAGCCUGCUAGCAAAACCACGCCACCUUACCAUUUGAGCUGAAGUCUACAGGCCCGAUCCACUUGAAGGCUGGUUUACGGCCUCGCUCUUCUGUUACAUGCACUUUCUUUAUCAGAGCCAAGCUGGUCAGAACAUUGGCUAUGUCAUAGAGGCGUCGUACCUUUGCUUGAAGAUAUAAAACACGAUUAUGAUCAUGCUGCCUGUGACACCAUAACAGUUUAGUUUAUGUGACAGGUAACUUUUCUCAGCUGCCAUAUAAACCUCGGGUGGAAAGCAGCAAGCUGGGAUGAGGAGACCAGUGGCUCUGUUAUAAAAUCACCCAGGAUUUAUGUACCUGCAGUAUCUGAAGGCUAAGGGAAGAUGCUACACAAGGAAUGAAACAAAAGCAUCAAAGCACAUGAUUUUCUACAAGAAAGACUAUACUUGUAGCUUCCCAAAAUGAUCUAGCCCUAUCAGCAGAUGGAACGAUCACCCUUGUCACAGGCAGAAGCUUACUGGACACACAUUGCAGAAGUCAGCUCAGAAAGAAAUGAGGCCGAUUUUCUUGUGGCUCGUAAAAUUACUCUACAGUAGGCAUAAACUCUGAGAUGCAUAUUUUAAACCACUCAAUGCUUUAUACUUAUACUUCCUACAAUAGAAUCCAUACGGUAGUUUUACCGAGGCAACUUCUUGGAAAGAUUAACGUAGAAUGAUAAAAAGAUAGGGUAGGAAUGUAGAAUUGUUUUUAGAACAUCAAGUCUCCUCUCAAAGGCAAAUUGCUACUCCAUUUUUAUUUCUCUGUGCCUGCAAUAUCUAGACUAUACCCUAAACAUAGUAGAUGCCCGCCUCUUCCACUUCUUUUCAGAAAUAUGUGAAUAAAUGAACUAUAUAGAAACAGAAGACAGAUUAGAUAUGUGCUCCUGUGGAUGGCAGGCAAACCAUCCCCGACAGAUGGCUGUCUUCUCUGGUUAUUAAGAUAAGUACUAGUUCAUGGGGUGGAACUAAAAGGCAUGAGGCAGUGAAUCUAAUGAAAACCAGGCCCACCUUUCUUUCCAUUUCUUAUAUUUGCAAGUGAGACGUAAUACUUGUACUUUGUCAUCUUAACAACAGGGAUGAAGAUCAAUGGCUAAAACAAGAAUAGGCUAAAUAUGAAUUGGGAAGGAAGAAUGCCGCCGAUGUAAAUAAAAAUUCUGCACCAAAUGAAAGCAGACGUUGUCUGUCUUUCUUAUCAACAUUUUCUGCGAAUGGAGUUCUUUUCUAAGUAGUCUAAGUCUACUUCAGUAUAUAAUUGGAUAAAACUCUUUGAAAAUAUAACUUUUUCAAUGUAAAUCUUACAGUUGCACAAAAAGAAGCAGCAUGGGGCUGCCAGUCUAAAAAUGGGAGUACUGCUAGCGAUCUAUUCUCCCAACAGGCCAAACUCGAGUGAACUGCCAUCGGCCAGGUUUGUUUAAAUGAGGUCGAGCGGACAGUCCAGUUGGGGAGUCAUCUGCUUUCCUUUCUCCAGUGAAGAGAAUAAGAGGACAUCUCCCCCCAGGUUUGUCAACCUGGCACCUCCCAUCUGAGCAGUGAAUCUCUGCAGAAAAGACCAUCACUCGCUCUUUCUCUGCCAUUACUCAUGAAGUUACAAUGGACUCACAAGAGGGAUAGUCGGGUUCAGAGAAAUCCAAUAACUGUUGUUCCUGGGAAUCUGGAUCGCCAUCUUUUCUACGUUCUCCAAAUUUAUAAUCCAUCAGGUCCAGCUCUUUCUGUUGGAGGUAGGCCAUCUGCUCUUCAUAUUUCUGCUCCUCUCCUAGUCUCUGGAGGUUCCUCAGGGUUUUUGGCAGGCUGUGCCGUCCAUGCCAGCCAUACUGAUUCUUAGCCACCCGGCUGACCAGAUGCAGCGAUUCCAGCACAUUUACAAUGUCAUAGAUGCGUCUCCUUUCCACACCUGUUUAAAAACAGAGGCCGAUGGACAUCAUGCAGACAAACAUUUUUGAAGAGAAGUUUCUUGAGGGCCUGGACUAUGUCUGUGAACUACUUUGUCUGAUCCCCAAUAUAAUGCCCACUGCGUGGAUGCUCAAGAAAUUCAACCUGUAAGGAUGCAACCAAUAGAAAUUAUUCUUCUUUUUCCUUCUUGAGAUCCAACCCUUACACAGAUCUAAGAUAAAACAUCUACCUAGAGAUGGUGACAUUUCCAUCUGUCUGACAUAAACAGUACAGCAACUGCUCUUUAGACCCAUCAGGCAAACCACACAAACAUUUCAGCAUGCUGAAAUUGGUGGUCUGAGCAAUACACGUAACAGUGUGCCUAAUGGACACUUGAUGAAUGGAUGGUUGACUGUGACUUGUACUCCUAAUUUUGCAGACUAUAAAAUCAACUGUGUCCAAUAACUGACACUUCCCCAUUAGACAAUACUAUCUAUCCUUUCAUGAAGUUCCAAUGAUAUAAAAAUAUUACCUUGAUAACGCUCUCAAUGGACCAGUAAGGAAAAUGGAUGCAAAUAUUAUGUUUUCUAUUUUGAACUGGAAAUGCAGGUGUCAAGGGCUUGAAUACCCUUCUCAUAUUGCUGAAGGAAGCCAGAGCUGGGGUUGGAACAACAUGGGAGUCUCCUUUUGUUCAUCAUGGCUAUUGACAAUUCUCUGUGUUCUCAUUCACCAUAACCUGGCAAACAGCCCAAAAGUGAAGCACAGAGACUCCAGUACAAGCUGACCACGAGGCUCGGCAGCUCACUACUCACUUUCCCAACACUCCCAAGGCAGCUAGGAUUAUAAGCUGCCCAUUACACCUAGCAAAAAUACUUAUAGUGGUUAAGGUCGGGGGCUCUGGGGUCAGACUGCCUACAUUUGAAUCCCUGAUAAAUCCCUUAGUAGCUGAGUGAUCCUGGGAAGUUACUUAACCUUUUUGUGUUUUUGUAUUUAUCUUAUAUAAUAAUGAGGAUGAAAUCUAACUGUAACUGUAGAGUCCCCAGUAGGUGUUAAUUUUAAAUAAAUACUUUUGUCAUUAC